CGGCACCUCAAGUGGUCAGGAUGAUUAUUGGGCCUAAAGCAUCCGUAGCCGGCGCUGUAAGUUUUCGGUUAAAUCUGUACGCUCAACGUACAGGCUGCCGGGAAUACUGCAGCGCUAGGGAGUGGGAGAGGUAGACGGUACUCGGUAGGAAGGGGUAAAAUCCUUUGAUCUAUUGAUGACCACCUGUGGCGAAGGCGGUCUACCAGAACACGUCCGACGGUGAGGGAUGAAAGAUGGGGGAGCAAACCGGAUUAGAUACCCGAGUAGUCC
rnacentral:rRNA from 1 species